UCAUGAAAACUGCUGUACAUCCUUAAGAUUUGCUAGUGAUCCUUAAAUUAUCCAGUCAUCAGGAUGGGAUAACCGCUCUGAACCAACUACACUUCUCAAGUAUGCAUGGGAUCAGGGAAUAAAGGAACUUCAAAUGGUCCUGCAAAGAUGAAGGCUUGCUGUAUUUCAGCUCGACAAGCAGUGGUGUGUAAAGAGUGGAGGAAAGGUUAUUUCUGAAUUUCUGGAAGAUGGGAAGGUUAAAU